AGAAAAUAGACAUCAAUAUGAUUAUAGAUUGAAUAAGUGCAGAAAUCUAUACUCUCACAUGACAUGGAAACUACUUUAUCACCAUCCAUGCAUCACUUUUUUUUGCAACCAUUCCUCAAUAAUAUGUUAUAUAAUGAUGGGAUACCUUUUGCUAACUAUAUGCUACAAAACCUCAAAGUUAUUCAUCUUUUAACAAAAGUUAUCUCAUUGCUGAAUUCAUUUUUGCAAUUUGCCUACAUUCUUACAUAGCAGUAUCUCUAUUAUUGCAGAAUAGGAAGAUCCUAAAGUUGACAUAUUUCAAAUCGAAGAUACAUGUAUAUAUAUUCAUAAGAUAUUUAAAUUAUUCAGGAACCAGAAUCUAUAGGCUUAUUAAAGGUACAAGUCGAUUAUUUCCUUUUUGUCACCAUCCAUGCUGCACUUCUUCUUUUUUCAUUUGUUCCUCAGUAACAUGAUAUGUCAGGAUGGGAUAUCUUUUGCUAAUUACCUGCUCCAAAACCUCAAAGCUUAUUCAUGUUUUAACAAAAGUUAUCUCAUUGCUUAUUUCAUUAUUGAGACUUCUCUACAUUCUUAUAUAACAUUCUCUCUAUUGAUGAAGAACAAAAAGAUCUAAAAUGGACAUGUCUCAAAAAUUAGAUAUAUUUAUAUAAUUAUUAUAAUUUUAUGUACCAUCAAGAUAUUUAGCUUUUUUAGGAACCAGUAUCUAUUGGCUUAUCUAAUGUACAAAUUUAUCAUUUCCUAUUUAGUUGUGAUCUUAUUUAGUUAUUAACUAUUCUAGCUUAUUUCAAUUAAUUAGUUUAUUUUCCUACUUUGUAAAAUUCCUAAAUAGAAUUAAGAAUUCCUAUUUUGAUUGUAUGGUACCUGUGAAUAAGGUACCCUGUCUUAGUUAUUUGUCAAACUAUUGAUGAUUAUUAUAUAGAUAUUGAGUAAUUAAUAUGAUAAUUGAGAUUCUAAUCUUAAUUCUACAUAAAGUUUGUCUAACUAUUGUGUUCAAGUUCUCUUUAUCCUACAUCAAUUGCUGUCUGAGCUUAAACUAGAUUCAUCAUGUUACCCUAAUUCUCUCAUUCUAACUUCACAAAACACAAAUCUAUUUUUGAAAAAAAUCUUAACACCCUAAAUCAAGUGUCAAUGGUAACUUCAAGAAUAGGAGAGAGAAACAUCACAACAUCAGUGCAACACUAUCCCCGGCCACUGCUAGGAGGUGAUCGAUACUGCCCCUUCCAUUGAUUUCUGAGAAUGUCAAUUGGCUGACCCACAAAAUCUUAGCAUCUGUUGCUGGAACCCUCCUCACUCCCAGAAGCUCAUUGGGUCACUACUACAAAAACUAAAUCUCCUUUCUGGCUGCAAGAAGUCACACCAACACUAAAUCCAAAAACCAAUGCCUCCAAAUGAAUCUUCCUAUGUAAUUGUUGUUGAGAGCUCACUAGAAGCCGGCGCAUGACGCCCAAGCACCAAUCAAUGUUUGCAAUUUGGCAAAAUGUGCUUGGAGUUAGAAAGAACUUUUCAACAAAAUUAAAAUGUGAGCAGAGGUUGUGGUGCUUGUCUGCCAUCAAAACACAUUAUCUUGUCUGAGUCAGCUCUGUUGGGAUAAUGUUCUUCGCAUCCUCAAACUAUGACGGUUUCUUUAAUAAAUAUCUUUGUCAAGACUACCAAUCAACAUUUGCUUCUGGGGUGGCAAACUGAUUGUUUUGAACUCAUGCCAUAGUUUUCACUAAUAGUUUUCAAAUCAUGUUGUUA